CUGGCCUACGCGACGCAGCAGUGAGGAAUAUUGGUCAAUGGUCGGGAAACUGAACCAGCCAAGCCGCGUGAGGGAGGAAGGUACAGAGUAUCGUAAACCUCUUUUGUCAGGGAACAAAGGCGGGAACGUGUCCCCGGAUGAGUGUACCUGAAGAAAAAGCAUCGGCUAACUCCGUGCCAGCAGCCGCGGUAAUACGGAGGAUGCGAGCGUUAUCCGGAUUUAUUGGGUUUAAAGGGUGCGCAGGCGGUCUGUUAAGUCAGCGGUCAAAGCCCGGGGCUCAACCCCGGCCCGCCGUUGACACUGGG
rnacentral:rRNA from 1 species